rnacentral:rRNA from 1 species
ACGGGUGAGUAAUGUCUGGGAAACUGCCUGAUGGAGGGGGAUAACUACUGGAAACGGUAGCUAAUACCGCAUGACCUCGUAAGAGCAAAGUGGGGGACCUUCGGGCCUCACGCCAUCGGAUGUGCCCAGAUGGGAUUAGCUAGUAGGUGAGGUAAUGGCUCACCUAGGCGACGAUCCCUAGCUGGUCUGAGAGGAUGACCAGCCACACUGGAACUGAGACACGGUCCAAACUCCUACGGGAGGCAGCAGUGGGGAAUAUUGCACAAUGGGCGCAAGCCUGAUGCAGCCAUGCCGCGUGUGUGAAGAAGGCCUUAGGGUUGUAAAGCACUUUCAGCGAGGAGGAAGGGUUCAGUGUUAAUAGCACUGAGCAUUGACGUUACUCGCAGAAGAAGCACCGGCUAACUCCGUGCCAGCAGCCGCGGUAAUACGGAGGGUGCAAGCGUUAAUCGGAAUUACUGGGCGUAAAGCGCACGCAGGCGGUUUGUUAAGUCAGAUGUGAAGUCCCCGAGCUUAACUUGGGAACUGCAUUUGAAACUGGCAAGCUAGAGUCUUGUAGAGGGGGGUAGAAUUCCAGGUGU